GAUGAACGCUGGCGGCGUGCUUAACACAUGCAAGUCGAACGAGAAGUGAAGACGGAAACCUUCGGGCGGAAGGCUUUAUUUCGAGUGGCGGACGGGUGAGUAACGCGUGGGUAACCUGCCUCAUACAGGGGGAUAACAGUUGGAAACGACUGUUAAUACCGCAUAAGACCACAGCACCGCAUGGUGCGGGGGUAAAAACUCCGGUGGUAUGAGAUGGACCCGCGUUCGAUUAGCCAGUUGGCGGGGUAACGGCCCACCAAAGCGACGAUCGAUAGCCGAGCUGAGAGGAUGACCGGCCACAUUGGGGCUGAGACACGGCCCAAACUCCUACGGGAGGGAGCAGUGGGGAAUAUUGCACGAUGGGGGAAGCCCUGAUGCAGCGACGCCGCGUGAGUGAAGAAGUAUUUCGGUAUGUAAAGCUCUAUCAGAAGGGAAGAAAAUGACGGUACCUGAGUAAGAAGCCCCGGCUAACUACGUG
rnacentral:rRNA from 1 species